rnacentral:rRNA from 1 species
UACGGGGGGAGCAAGCGUUGUUCGGAUUUACUGGGCGUAAAGGGCGCGUAGGCGGCGCAACAAGUCACUUGUGAAAUCUCCGGGCUUAACCCGGAGCGGUCAAGUGAUACUGUCGUGCUAGAGUGCGGAAGGGGCUACUGGAAUUCUCGGUGUAGCGGUGAAAUGCGUAGAUAUCGAGAGGGAACACCUGGCGGCGAAGGCGGGUAGCUGGGCCGACACUGACGCUGAUGCGCGAAAGCCAGGGGAGCGAACGGG